GUCUUUUAAUUCUCUUUUCGUGGUAGUGUUGCUGAUUAUUCAAUGAUAAAGUCACUAUAUGUAUGGAAUUUGAUCUUAGCAUACAUAUAGUUAUGCAUUCGGUUUUGUUAUUAAAACUGGGUGUGACAUCGCGCAGCACAAGAGCACUCAGACGGAUCUGACAACAGCUGCAAAUAAAGAACUCCUUGCAGCGAAGAACGUGGCCUGAGCAUUACGAGUAUGACACUGAUAACCUGAUGAUUGUAUAUAAAGAAGGCAUAAUUGUCAGAAUUAUGCAGGUGUGAGCAACAUGCAGGUGUGAGCAACUUGAAGUAGCAUGGGAGCUCAUAUACAACCUGCCUUUGUAGUUAGCUAGUUUCCCUUUGUAUGUGAUGCUGCAAUAUCUAUUUACCUUUCUGCUCAGUAAAGUUAUUUUAUAGGAUCCACAAUGCAUUUGUUUUUUGUGCCAUAUUUGGUUCAUGUGGCAUUUUUGGAAGAACAAUGGGAAGUUGCUGGUUACUAUCUCAGUAGGUGGAACUUUUGAUGAAUUGAAUUCUUGAUGGAUGCAAUAUGAAUUUUCAGUGGAUGCAAACCAUA